rnacentral:rRNA from 1 species
CCCCCGAGGCUUAACUUGGGAAUUGGCAUUCGAUACUGGUUGGCUAGAGUAUGGGAGAGGAUGGUAGAAUUCCAGGUGUAGCGGUGAAAUGCGUAGAGAUCUGGAGGAAUACCGAUGGCGAAGGCAGCCAUCUGGCCUAAUACUGACACUGAGGUGCGAAAGCAUGGGGAGCAAACAGGAUUAGAUACCCUGGUAGUCCAUGCCGUAAACGAUGUCUACUAGCCGUUGGGGCCUUUGAGGCUUUAGUGGCGCAGCUAACGCGAUAAGUAGACCGCCUGGGGAGUACGGUCGCAAGACUAAAACUCAAAUGAAUUGACGGGGGCCCGCACAAGCGGUGGAGCAUGUGGUUUAAUUNGAUGCAACGCGAAGAACCUUACCUGGUCUUGACAUAGUAAGAACUUUCCAGAGAUGGAUUGGUGCCUUCGGGAACUUACAUACAGGUGCUGCAUGGCUGUCGUCAGCUCGUGUCGUGAGAUGUUGGGUUAAGUCCCGCAACGAGCGCAACCCUUUUCCUUAUUUGCCAGCGGGCUAAGCCGGGAACUUUAAGGAUACUGCCAGUGACAAACUGGAGGAAGGCGGGGACGACGUCAAGUCAUCAUGGCCCUUACGACCAGGGCUACACACGUGCUACAAUGGUCGGUACAAAGGGUUGCUACCUCGCGAGAGGAUGCUAAUCUCAAAAAGCCGAUCGUAGUCCGGAUUGGAGUCUGCAACUCGACUCCAUGAAGUCGGAAUCGCUCGUAAUCGCGGAUCAGAAUGCCGCGGUGAAUACGUUCCCGGGCCUUGUACACACCGCCCGUG